rnacentral:tRNA from 1 species
AGUGAGAUAGGUUAAUUGAUUGACUGUCUGUUUUCAAAACAGGAGGUGGCGUAGAGUUUCUCACUG